GCAGAGACACUAAGCAGAAGCAGCAGAGCUCGUAAAACUGCGCAGGUUUGAGGUUAUGGGUGUGUCCAUGGUGCCAUUAUGGAAGUCGUGUAUAAUUGCGGUUGGGUUAACCGCAGUGUGAGGUAUGAAUAACCAAUCUCAGCUCACGCCGUCAAACUGUAUGACUUGAAGUCAAGAGAUAACAGCACCGACUCAGGCUAAUGAAGACUGAAUCAUAGGUGAGGAGGGAUGAUCAUCACUCUUUCUCUCUAGAUGACAAAUGAAGUUGUCAUUCUCCUCAAGUGUGACUGGUCAUUUCGGCUGCACAGCAUCCAGCCUGUCUCCAAUGGACUGUAAUAGCUCCCUUUAACACCUGGCCAGAACAAUCACCAGCAGGGGGUGGUGUUUAUCCUCUCAAUGUCAAAGGAAACGUCUUGCUAUGUGCUUGGUUGAGUCACUGGGACCUGGGGGGACUGGACAGCCAGUGGAGGCGAUGUCUAAGGCACGCGACCAUGGGCCUUCAGCCCUUUGGGUAGAGAGAAAUCCAGUUUUCUCGACUAGACAGGUCUGAAGCUGGAGCGACAUCGCCUCAGGGAGCCCAGGCAGGGACGGUCACGUGGAGGGAGGCGGCCGGGCUGUAAACUGGCGUGGAUAUGGAUGGGCAGGAGAGACCUGAGGCACAUGCUGGCCAUCCAACGAGGGGAGACAAGCCAGACACAUCGCGGAGCCGCUGACAGGCUGUCUUACUGGGCUCCUCUUCCGUCGAGGGUCAUCUAUAUCAGAGGCUACUGCAGCUAUUCCUACCCGACAGUGGGCAACAAGAUGAUGUCACGGCG